rnacentral:rRNA from 1 species
AUUGAACGCUGGCGGCAUGCCUUACACAUGCAAGUCGAACGGCAGCAUGAUCUAGCUUGCUAGAUUGAUGGCGAGUGGCGAACGGGUGAGUAAUACAUCGGAACGUGCCCUGUAGUGGGGGAUAACUAGUCGAAAGAUUAGCUAAUACCGCAUACGACCUGAGGGUGAAAGUGGGGGACCGCAAGGCCUCAUGGUAUAGGAGCGGCCGACGUCUGAUUAGCUAGUUGGUGGGGUAAAGGCCCACCAAGGCGACGAUCAGUAGCUGGUCUGAGAGGACGAUCAGCCACACUGGGACUGAGACACGGCCCAGACUCCUACGGGAGGCAGCAGUGGGGAAUUUUGGACAAUGGGCGAAAGCCUGAUCCAGCAAUGCCGCGUGUGUGAAGAAGGCCUCGGUUGUAAG